UACGGAGGGUGCAAGCGUUACUCGGAAUCACUGGGCGUAAAGGACGCGUAGGCGGCUUCAUAAGUCAGAUGUGAAAGCCCACGGCUCAACCGUGGAACUGCAUUUGAAGCUGUGUGGCUAGAGUCUGGGAGAGGCAGAUGGAAUUGGUGGUGUAGGGGUAAAAUCCGUAGAGAUCACCAGGAAUACCGAUGGCGAAGGCGAUCUGCUGGAACAGUACUGACGCUGAGGCGUGAAAGCGUGGGGAGCAAACAGGAUUAGAUACCCUGGUAGUCCACGCCCUAAACGAUGAAUGCUAGUUGUUGGGGUGCUUGUCACUUCAGUAAUGCAGCUAACGCAAUAAGCAUUCCGCCUGGGGAGUACGGUCGCAAGAUUAAAACUCAAAGGAAUAGACGGGGACCCGCACAAGCGGUGGAGCAUGUGGUUUAAUUCGAAGAUACGCGAAGAACCUUACCUGGGCUUGACAUCCCGAGAACCGGCCAGAGAUGGCUGGGUGCUACUUUAGUAGAGCUCGGUGACAGGUGCUGCACGGCUGUCGUCAGCUCGUGUCGUGAGAUGUUGGGUUAAGUCCCGCAACGAGCGCAACCCUCGUCCUUAGUUGCCAGCACAUCAAGGUGGGCACUCUAAGGAGACUGCCCGGGUAACCGGGAGGAAGGUGAGGACGACGUCAAGUCAUCAUGGCCCUUAUGUCCAGGGCGACACACGUGCUACAAUGGCGUGUACAAUGAGAGGCGAUACCGCGAGGUGGAGCAAAUCUAUAAAACACGUCCCAGUUCGGAUUGCAGUCUGCAACUCGACUGCAUGAAGUUGGAAUCGCUAGUAAUCGUGAAUCAGCCAUGUCACGGUGAAUACGUUCCCGGGUC
rnacentral:rRNA from 1 species